UCUACGCAGCGAGUGUGCUUAGAGGCUUGAAUGUGUUAUGCGCAUUUCGUUUAAAAUCAAUUGCUUGCUAAAACGUAGUCACUUUCCUUAGACCUCGAGUACUGUACGUGGCUAACGUAGCUGUUAGCAUUCCGUACCGCGGGGAUUUCGCCGACCGUAUAACAUCGUCGGAGUAUCGUUCAACAUUCUUCUGGCCGGGUCUUUUUGUGGAGUUCUAAUUGAGGACAGCGCUGGGAUUAGCGUGCCUUCAGUGGAGUGGAUUCCAUUACGGUGCCCUGACGUCCAAAA